rnacentral:rRNA from 1 species
UACGAAGGGGGCUAGCGUUGCUCGGAAUCACUGGGCGUAAAGGGUGCGUAGGCGGGUCUUUAAGUCAGGGGUGAAAUCCUGGAGCUCAACUCCAGAACUGCCUUUGAUACUGGCGAUCUUGAGUCCGGAAGAGGUGAGUGGAACUCCUAGUGUAGAGGUGAAAUUCGUAGAUAUUAGGAAGAACACCAGUGGCGAAGGCGGCUCACUGGCCCGGUACUGACGCUGAGGCGCGAAAGCGUGGGGAGCAAACAGGG